rnacentral:rRNA from 1 species
ACUCCUACGGGAGGCAGCAGUGGGGAAUAUUGCACAAUGGGCGCAAGCCUGAUGCAGCCAUGCCGCGUGUAUGAAGAAGGCCUUCGGGUUGUAAAGUACUUUCAGCAGUGAGGAAGGUGGAUAUGUUAAUAGCAUAUUCAUUUGACGUUAGCUGCAGAAGAAGCACCGGCUAACUCCGUGCCAGCAGCCGCGGUAAUACGGAGGGUGCGAGCGUUAAUCGGAAUUACGUGGCGUAAAGCGCAUGCAGGUGGUUUGUUAAGUCAGAUGUGAAAGCCCGGGGCUCAACCUCGGAAUUGCAUUUGAAACUGGCAAACUAGAGUACUGUAGAGGGGUAGAAUUUCAGGUGUAGCGGUGAAAUGCGUAGAGAUCUGAAGGAAUACCGGUGGCGAACGGCGGCCCCGUGGACAGAUACUGACACUCAGAUGCGAAAGCGUGGGAGCAAACAGG